rnacentral:lncRNA from 1 species
AUUCUACCUGGUGGAGAUAAACAAUAACAAUAAACAUUAUAUAUAUGUUUAUUUAUAUAUAUAUAUGAGAGAGUGUGUUAGAAAGUGAUUGCUUUAAGAAGAAACCUGAGGACCAAGUCAGCCGAGGAAGAAGAUGCUUUUAAUUUAAAUAGGGUGGUUGGAAUUGGGCGGGGGGAAGACAUGUCUUAAAAGAGGUGAGGGAGUGAGUCUUGUAGAUACUUAGGGUGACUGACACAAGUACAUGGGGGAAGGGCCUUAGUCUUCUAUUUUCUCUGGAAAUUAGGAAACAAGCUCUUCUACUAAGAAUAAGGCAGGCUUGGAAUAAGGAACCAAUAACAAUAAUUAGAAGAGGCAGAGGGAUACCACAGAAAAGUUUUUGGUGAAAGAGCACAUGUGGAGAUGGGUGAGUGGAUUCAACUUCAGUAGAAAAGAAAGUGAAGAUACAUAAGGGCAUAGGUGAAAAGAAAACGAGGGAUUUCAAGGAAUUGGAGGUCAGAAAAGUAUUCAGUAGGAUUAAGAAAACAUGAGCAGUCAACAGAUAAGAUUCUGUGGUUUCAGUGGAACUUUGGGUCUAAAUUUUGAGAAUUCGAUGAUCUUAGGCAAUGAAAAAUGUGUAAUUUGGGGAGUAAAUUAUUUAGAAGCCAUUGGAGCAGAUGCUUGUAUUCAAGGAAAUCAUGUAAACUCCAGUUCCAUUCAGCGGUCUUAAGGCUAGUAAAUGAGAGAUUUCAUCUACUAUCGCUCCAGCGAGAGAGCACGAGCUUGGUGUUGAGUUUAAAGAACAUGGGACUAUCCAUUACUGGCUUGGUAACCUUGAGUAAGUGCAUUAUGUAUAACAAACUGUUUUUUCAUUUGCAAGAUGGAUAAACACAGAAUUAUCAAGAAUAAAUGAGUUAAUGCAUGCCGUAUGUACCUAGCACAGUGCUUGACACAGUAAACCAUGAUCAACAAUUCAUAGAUAUUACAUUUUGUCCAUUCCAAGAUCUUUUUGUCACACUUAAAAUAUCUGUGUUAAAGACACACCCAGUAAGGUCCCUCCCCUCAAACUAAUACUAAAUCAAUAAGGCCCCUGGGUUUCCAUGGUUGAUCAUGUUUCAGGACUGAAGCAUGUGAUCUUUCCCAUCUCUUUUCUCUACCAUUUAUUCCAUGGUGAACGUGAAAAGUGAAUUAUAAUCUAGAAAAAUGAUACUUGUAAAGUGCAAGCAGAGGCUAAAAAACUGGCUGGCAGGAAUUUGAAUGGAAACAGUGGCUUUUCUGGAAGGAAUGAAAUCAAACGACCUCGAAAGUCUUAUGAUGAUUGACACCAACACUUGGUCUGAGAUAGAUCUUGACUUCCCCACACUUGACUUUUGCCUCUCAUCCAAAUUCUCAGGAAGGUAUUUUUUAAAAGUUUCAAGAAUAUGAAGUUGGGGGAUCCAAACAUGAUUGAUAACAAUACCAAGAAAAGAUUGAGUUGGAGUAAAAAAGCACCCUUUCCUAUGACGUAUAAAGAGACCAACAAACAGAAACAUUCUUAUUUAUCCAUUAAACAUCUUUCCCAUCCAGAUAUGAGGAGCAAAAUGAUUAUAGAUUAUGUAUUAAUUUGAAGAGCUAAAUGAGCUUUGGACCUUCCUGUGAGAACAGACAUGUAGAAAUUUUGCCAUAUUGAAAGGUGUCUUUACCAUAUCCUUAUCACUAUAAUAAAUGUGGGGCUCAGGUUUGAAGUUAGAAGUUCUACCCAGAAAUUGUCUCCAAUUUGAGUGUUCUCUCAUGAGCUGGUUCCUCUGAAAAUAUCAUGUACACCUGUCUUCAAGGGUAUGUGGUGAUAGACAAGGUCUCAAAUUUUGGCUGGAUCAUUCAGGUUAUUUACAGAGUAACUCAUGGCAGCUGAGACAAAGAAGAAAUCCAUCUCUCGGUAACGAACAAAACAAAACAAAAAUACCAUUGGCAGCAAUGCUGAGGUUAAGUCUGGAAACAGUUGGAACUAUCAUCGGAAAAGGAGUCACAAGGUCAGAGGUCAGAAACAUGAGGAACAGAACUGGAAGGUGAAGGGGUGUUGGGUCAGUGUAAGGACUCGAGGCAGAACUAAGAACAAAGGGAGUCAGGUGUGACCUUUUAUGGGGUUGGCAUGAAGGUUAGUCUGCUGAUUGAGAUAAGACUACAUAAUUGUGACACUUCUGCAGGACCCGAAAGGGGUGGGAUAACCCAUAAGAGUCUCAGCAUUAUUUUACCCUGAUCAUACUAGGCUGUAUCUGUAUUUGUGUAGGUAGCUUAGCCAUCAUUUUAUACCAUAUUCAGCUGUCAUUCAUAGAAAUCCCCUUAAAUCCUCUGUGUAUGGUUUCUGAGCAACUCUGAUGUUCUCAUUUCCUGGUUUUCCUAGAUGACUUGCCCCUGGUCAGCUAAUAUCCUUCAUUUUACUAUCCUAUGUAACUAUUCGAUUCCAGCCCCAAUCAAAUUAUCCUGCUUUCAGAUCUCCAAAUAAUGUGCUUAUCUGAUUAUCCCUGUCAUUCUCUCAGUGCACAGUUCUGGGUCUUUGCUGAGAAGACAUGAACUAGUCAGUCCCUGUUAGGUCACCUGGCAGUCUAUCCUUGUUUGUUGUAAGCAUUAGUAAGAACAAAUCUGCCACAGAUUCAUGAUGAGGCCUCCCUUUAGCAGAUAAUGCUCAUAGUUAAAUGUACAUCUGUUUUGGAAAUGAAUUUCCUUACAGAGACUAUUUCCCUCAGUUGUGUCCCAUGAAAUUUACAAGCAGGGACUUCUUCACUUUAAAUAGGAUCAUAUAUGAAAGCAUUAUGCCAGUUUUAGCCUCCCCCACUUGUCCUUCAUAAAUGAAAACAUUUUAGGUCACAGCAAGUGGACAAACAAUAGCAUUACUGGCACAAUAACUUUUGUAAUCCUUCUUCCUGGUAUUCAGUCAGGAUUAAGUGACUCACCUUACAGUGAGUGCAUUCUUAGUGAAUAUGAGGUCUUAUUUGUAAGGUCGAUGAAUAGAAGUGCCAUUGAAAUGGUGACUGUCUCAUUCUGUCACUAGCUGGUAUUCAAAUUUUGGAGAGUUAGUGGAGAGUGGAGGAUAAUACUGGAUUCCAUUAACAAAUUUUAAAGACAUUUAAUAUCAACAGGUCUGGAAGCAGUUAAGAUAUUUGGAAACAGAGUUUGCUGACAUCAUUAAUCCAUUCAUUUUUUUUCCCCUAAAACUUACAAAGUUUUCAACACCCACUUUAUGGUAGGCUCUAAGGGAUAAAACUAAAUUAUAGAGACAAAACAUUGUCCCUUAUUUCUCUUAAGAAGGGGAAAUCAGAUGAAUAAAUACCUGUAAUACAGUGUGAUGGUGCUUUAAUAGAGGCAGAACUAUUUUUGGUGAGUUAUUUACCACUGAGAAACUUUUUAUUCAGAAUCGCAUGAACCAGAAAGCAUGCUUAAGCUUUAGUUUGAACAUAACUAGUAAGAUAAAAUGCAAGUGGAAAUUUAAUAUUUCACUAAAAUAAUAGGCUGUAUUCAUUUACAAAUAUAAGUACAUAUAAUAGUAUAUCUUUACAAUAUAUUUACUAAUGUUAUAUAUAAAUAAAUGUAUAUGUGUCUUCAUAUUUUCAAGUAUUAUAACAUGGUACAUGUAUACCUUAAGGCAGUAUUUUCAACAGUUUCUCCAACUUAUUUAGUGUCUGAAGCCAGGACAGGUACUUUCUCAUUCAAUCAACUACAGAGAAAGUGAGGAGAAAAUGUACAGCAAAGUAGGGAAUUCGACAUGUCAGUUUACAAAGCUAACAAUGCCUGCUGCAUCCUUCGCAUUUUUCACCUUUGCCAUUUCCCCUGAGGAGGGCAGCAGAAUAGAAUCAUUUCUCCUUGUAGAACUGAGAACGUACAUAUCGUUGCUACAUUUUUUAAACCGAUUUUCCCUCACAAAUUCACUAACACUUGAAAGGCCUGCUUUGUAGUCCCACAAGUUAUAAAGAGAGAACGGAGACACAAACUAUGAUGAAAAAGCAUCCAAGGUAGGGGCUUUCUUCUAGACAACACUUUUCUGUUCAGUUUGAUUAGAAACUAUAUCCAUUUUGUUACGAAAAUCAGUUACAUUGGAACAUUAGCCAUUAUUAUUACAUGUUUUAUAUAUUAAAUGAUAAUUAAUUGCAUUUGGGAAAAUUAAUUGCUGAACCUGAAUUAGACAGAUUCAACACUCCUCAUAGACAAAGCUAGAUGACCACGUGGCAGAGACCAGACCAGCACGUAUGCUUCUUGAAGACAGACCUUGAUCCAAAAAGAAAGAUGAUGGAGCUGUUUCCCAGGGUUGUUGUAACAAAUCACCAUGAACUUGAUGGCUUAGGACAGCAGAGCUUUAUUCCCCCACAGCUCUGGAGACUAGAAAUCUGAGAGCAAAGUGUCAGAAGGGCCAUGCUCCCUCUGAAGACCCUCUGAAGACUCUAGAGAAGAAUCCUUCCUUGCCUGCACCUGGGGUCUCCAGCAACUCUUGGUGCUCCUCACCUUCCAGAUGCAUCCCUCUAAGUUGUGCCUGCUUCUCUGAUGGCACUGUGCAUCCUCUCUUCUGAUGAGGACACCAGUCAAUGGAUUUAGAGCCCACUCUAAUCUAGCAUGACCUUUUUUUAACUUGAUAAUAUCUGAAAAAAAAAAAAAAACUGUAUUU